GCCUACGGGGGGCAGCAGUGAGGAAUAUUGGUCAAUGGCCGAGAGGCUGAACCAGCCAAGUCGCGUGAGGGAAGACGGCCCUACGGGUUGUAAACCUCUUUUGUCGGGGAGCAAAGCGAGUCACGUGUGACUCAUUGAGAGUACCCGAAGAAAAAGCAUCGGCUAACUCCGUGCCAGCAGCCGCGGUAAUACGGAGGAUGCGAGCGUUAUCCGGAUUUAUUGGGUUUAAAGGGUGCGCAGGUGGAUUGUUAAGUCAGUUGUGAAAGUUUGCGGCUCAACCGUAAAAUUGCAGUUGAAACUGGCAG
rnacentral:rRNA from 1 species